AACGCACAUUGCGCCCUUUGGUAUUCCGAAGGGCAUGCCUGUUCGAGCGUCAUUUACACCCCUCAAGCCCCCGGGCUUGGUUUUGGACGGUUUGGUCCAGGUCACCUGGACCCCUCCUAAAGACAAUGACGGCGGCCUCGUUGGACCCCCGGUACACUGAGCUUCUUAACUGAGCACGUAUCGGAUCUAGGGUGCGCGAGCCACGGUCUUAUACCCCCCUUUUUUCUAAGGUUGACCUCGGAUCAGGUAGGAAUACCCGCUGAACUUAA
rnacentral:misc_RNA from 3 species